GAUGAACGCUGGCGGCGUGCCUAAUACAUGCAAGUCGAGCGAACAGAUGAGGAGCUUGCUCCUCUGACGUUAGCGGCGGACGGGUGAGUAACACGUGGAUAACCUACCUAUAAGACUGGGAUAACUUCGGGAAACCGGAGCUAAUACCGGAUAAUAUAUUGAACCGCAUGGUUCAAUAGUGAAAGACGGUUUUGCUGUCACUUAUAGAUGGAUCCGCGCCGCAUUAGCUAGUUGGUAAGGUAACGGCUUACCAAGGCAACGAUGAGUAGCCGACCUGAGAGGGUGAUCGGCCAAAAUGGAAAGGAGAAAAGGUACAGAAUCCUAAGGGAGGGAGGAGGAGGGAAAAUUACGAAAUGGGCGAAAGACUGAAGGAGCAAAGCCGAGUGAGUGAAGAAGGUCUUAGGAUCGUAAAAAUCUGUUAAUAGGGAAGAAAAAAAGUGGAAGUAAAUAUGGAAGACUUGAAGGUAACUAAACAGAAAGGCAAGGCUAAAUAAGUG
rnacentral:rRNA from 1 species